rnacentral:rRNA from 1 species
UGGGUAACCUGCCCCAAAGAGGGGGAAUAGCCUCCCGAAAGGGAGAUUAAUACCGCAUAAUAUGUUUAAGUCGCAUGACUUUAACAUCAAAGGAUUUUCUUUUAGAACUUCCACUUUGAGAUGGACCCGCGGCGCAUUAGCUAGUUGGUGAGGUAACGGCUCACCAAGGCAACGAUGCGUAGCCGACCUGAGAGGACGAUCAGCCACACGUGGGACUGAGACACGGCCCAGACCUCCGUAGGGACG